AGGAAUUUAAACGGGACUGACCCGAACAGGAAUUUAAACGGGACUGACCCGAACAGAAUUUAAACGGGAUUCACUGGGGAAGUUUGAGACAAUGAAUUGAAUUUUUACCUGAGAGUAGUUCAAAUGUUUGUACCUAGAGGGAGAUUGGAUCUCUGUAGUUGAAGCGAUGGCUGGUGUUGGUCCUUAUAAUCCAACUUUGCAAAUAACAUUGCUUUAGGUUUGAAAAAGAGAAUGAUCGCUUUCAUUUGUGACCGCAGUGUUCCUGCAAGAAUAAAUAAUAAUGGACUUGCCACCAUUAUUUGAUCCGGUUUGCCUUGAGAAUCGUGUAAACAUGAGUCUUGUACUAUUUUUGCCUCUGUUCUGCGGCAUCCGUCUUGGUCGAACUUGUGACUUUGCAAAUUCUAAGACUGAUAAAAUACGGAUUGACCACGUCACCCAAUCCAGGUGGUAGCUUUGUUGCAUGUUACUCCCUGUAUCUGAUGAUUGAAUCCCCUAUUUUUGCUCAAACCUUUGGGUUUAUCACUCAUUUGAAUUCAAUGGUAAAAGAAUGAUGCGUGAAAAUUUGUCAUAUAACAAUCAAUGUAUAUGCAAGAUUAUUUCCUAUGUCGGGCAAAGAUGAGCAUGCAAAAGAAUGUAGACAAUCAUAAGCAGUCAUACACAAAUAAUUGAAAACAACCAAAAGAUUCAUAAAGAUACAUUUUGCAAAAGAAUAUUUGUAAAGAACAAUACAAGUUUAGCCAACGAAUAUCAUAUUCAAGACUUUGGAUAUUUUGCUUCGGAAUCCGAUACUGACAAAAGUAUCACAAACAUGAGGAAAAACCCCAAACGAACCAGGUCACCAGCUGUUCCUUCUCGCGCUCGUCCGUUGUGAAAAACCCGCCUUGGCGCCCUUUCGGGUUUUCACCAAGGUUGCCCCUACCCUUUUGUUUUUGCUUUUUCUUUCUUCUUUCUUCUUUUCUUUUUUUUUUUUUUUUUUUUUUUCUUUUUUUUUUUCUUUUUUUUUUUUUUUUUUAAGGCGCCCUUUCGGGUUUUCACCUAAAGAAUAAAGAUACAUCUCGACCAUGAUCGACUCAGAAAUAUGAGUUAAAGGUUUCAGGCAUCAGUAAAAUGCACUUCCCUUGUAGAUUAGGCGAAGGCAUUACGGACAUCACUUGCCAGUUGAUUAUCAAAUUUUGCUAAUAGAAAUGCAACAAAUGACGGAAGCCAGGACUUUGGGCUUUGUAAUGAGGUCAGGUGGGGUGUUUUUCCAGAAAGGUUAAGGCUUGAAAGCAAAUUCGAUGCCAGGGGUAAAAUAAACUGAGAUUGCC
rnacentral:lncRNA from 1 species